UACGGAAGGCAGCAGUGGGGAAUAUUGCACAAUGGGCGCAAGCCUGAUGCAGCCAUGCCGCGUGUAUGAAGAAGGCCUUCGGGUUGUAAAGUACUUUCAGUCGUGAGGAAGGUGUUAAGGUUAAUAACCUUAGCAAUUGACGUUAGCGACAGAAGAAGCACCGGCUAACUCCGUGCCAGCAGCCGCGGUAAUACGGAGGGUGCGAGCGUUAAUCGGAAUUACUGGGCGUAAAGGGCACGCAGGCGGUUAAUUAAGUUGGAUGUGAAAUCCCCGGGCUUAACCUGGGAAUGGCAUUCAAGACUGGUUAGCUAGAGUCUUGUAGAGGGGGUAGAAUUCCAUGUGUAGCGGUGAAAUGCGUAGAGAUGUGGAGGAAUACCGGUGGCGAAGGCGGCCCCUGGACAAAGACUGACGCUCAUGUGCGAAAGCGUGGGGGAGCGAAACAGGGAUUAGAU
rnacentral:rRNA from 1 species